UUGACCUCAGAUCAGGUAGGAAUACCCGCUGAACUUAAGCAUAUCAAUAAGCGGAGGAAAAGAAACCAACAGGGAUUGCCCUAGUAACGGCGAGUGAAGCGGCAACAGCUCAAAUUUGAAAUCUGGCGCAAGCCCGAGUUGUAAUUUGUAGAGGAUGUUUCUGGCGACGUGCCUUCCGAGUUCCCUGGAACGGGACGCCAUAGAGGGUGAGAGCCCCGUACGGUUGGAUGCCUAGCCUCUGUGAAACUCCUUCGACGAGUCGAGUAGUUUGGGAAUGCUGCUCUAAAUGGGAGGUAUACGUCUUCUAAAGCUAAAUACCGGCCAGAGACCGAUAGCGCACAAGUAGAGUGAUCGAAAGAUGAAAAGCACUUUGAAAAGAGGGUUAAAAAGUACGUGAAAUUGUUGAAAGGGAAGCGUUCAUGACCAGACUUGGGCAGGUUGAUCAUCCGUGGUUCUCCGCGGUGCACUCUGCCUGCCCAGGCCAGCAUCAGUUCGCCCCGGGGGAUAAAGACUUUGGGAAUGUGGCUCCCUCGGGAGUGUUAUAGCCCACUGUGUAAUACCCUGGGGUGGACUG
rnacentral:rRNA from 1 species